ensembl:lncRNA novel transcript, ARMCX5-GPRASP2 readthrough
GUUGUGGGUAACGCGGACGUGGAAGAACCUCGUCUGCGGAGGAAAAGGUAGAUGUUAAAUGGUAACUACGCGCGAGGUUCUGAGGAGCCCUGGGAACAGGAAGGAGAAAAGAAUACCAAAAGUGACAACAGUUUGCCAAUCGCAGUCUUUAAUCUGAUAAAGCGGUUAUCUCGUCUUGAGUCCCAGGUGCCGAGUCAAUCCCCAUACACAGCCGCCGCCAUUGCCUCGAGUCCUUGUGUCUGACUGUCUGUUCCUGCUGCUGUAUGACACAGCACCUCGAGGCAAGGAAAUAAGAAAACUGCCUCUGAUCCAAGCAGAGAAGGUCUGCCUGUAGAUCUGCUGUAGGGCUUGUCACCAUUGGAAGCAAGGUCCUACUUCAGUGGCAGAUCUGGUGGCCUUGGAGUGGCUGAAGACCACCACCCUCCACAGGGCUGGGCCCAUGCACAGCCAUCCUUCCCUACCUUGAAACUCCUGUAGCCUGUAAUACCAGCUGUGGGUACUACUCUCAGUGUUGGAGAUCAUCAAAAUACAAUUGGACCAGACCCUUUGGAAAUAAUUCUGUGUCUCAAAUGCCCUGUGGAGCACACACUUAAUCAGUUGAUGGCUAUGGAAUUUUCCAACAUCAGCUAAAGAGAAGGGAUAGAGUGGUGACUUCCAAGCUUCAUGCAGAACCGGACAACAGAAAUUGAGAGGGAAAUUUCUAUGACAGAAGAGAGAAAGAAGAAAAUUGCUGGAAUAAUGACCUUGAAUAGAGGAAAUGGGAUAUCAUCUGGUUCUGGAGACAGCCUGUAUUUCUUGGAUCUUGGCUUCCUUCCAUCUUCAAAGCCAACGAUGACCAGUGUAGACUUUCUAUGCUGCUUCAAUCUGACAUGGAGUCCCUGCCUUCCACAUCUAAAGUACCCUUGCAAUUACAUUGGCCAAGAUAACCCAGAAUAAUCUUAAAUUAAACUCAGCUGAAUAGCAA